AUGCAAGUCGAACGAGCGAGAGAGAGCUUGCUUUCUCGAGCGAGUGGCGAACGGGUGAGUAACGCGUGAGGAACCUGCCUCAAAGAGGGGGACAACAGUUGGAAACGACUGCUAAUACCGCAUAAGCCCACGGUGCCGCAUGGCACAGAGGGAAAAGGAGCAAUCCGCUUUGAGAUGGCCUCGCGUCCGAUUAGCUAGUUGGUGGGGUAACGGCCCACCAAGGCGACGAUCGGUAGCCGGACUGAGAGGUUGAACGGCCACAUUGGGACUGAGACACGGCCCAGACUCCUACGGGAGGCAGCAGUGGGGAAUAUUGCACAAUGGGGGAAACCCUGAUGCAGCGACGCCGCGUGGAGGAAGAAGGUCUUCGGAUUGUAAACUCCUGUUGUUGGGGAAGAUAAUGACGGUACCCAACAAGGAAGUGACGGCUAACUACGUGCCAGCAGCCGCGGUAAAACGUAGGUCACAAGCGUUGUCCGGAAUUACUGGGUGUAAAGGGAGCGCAGGCGGGAAGACAAGUUGGAAGUGAAAUCUAUGGGCUCAACCCAUAAACUGCUUUCAAAACUGUUUUUCUUGAGUAGUGCAGAGGUAGGCGGAAUUCCCGGUGUAGCGGUGGAAUGCGUAGAUAUCGGGAGGAACACCAGUGGCGAAGGCGGCCUACUGGGCACCAACUGACGCUGAGGCUCGAAAGUGUGGGUAGCAAACAGGAUUAGAUACCCUGGUAGUCCACACCGUAAACGAUGAUUACUAGGUGUUGGAGGAUUGACCCCUUCAGUGCCGCAGUUAACACAAUAAGUAAUCCACCUGGGGAGUACGACCGCAAGGUUGAAACUCAAAGGAAUUGACGGGGGCCCGCACAAGCAGUGGAGUAUGUGGUUUAAUUCGACGCAACGCGAAGAACCUUACCAAGUCUUGACAUCCCUUGACAGGCAUAGAAAUAUGUUUUCUCUU
rnacentral:rRNA from 1 species